GUUAUGUUGUCUACUAAAUCACAAUCUCUUUAAAAAUAUAUUUACAUCACAGACAUGUUAAAAAAAUGUAGCUUCUCCAGGAUACGUAUCUCCUUAAUAACCAUCUUGGCAAUUGUUAAAAGAAUUUUAAAGGGACACUAUAGUUACCAGAAUAACUACAGCUUAUUGUAUUUGUUCUGGUGAGUAUAAUCAUUCCCUUCAGGCUUUUU